UGAUGCCUGCCCAGUGACUCAUUAAACGGCCGCGGUAACAUGACCGCGCGAAGGUAGCAUAAUCACUUGUCUUUUAAAUAGAGACUGGAAUGAAUGGCUUCACGAGGUUCUAUCUGUCUCUUACAAACAAUCAGUGAAAUUGAUCCCCUCGUGCAAAAGCGAGAAUACCCACAUAAGACGAGAAGACCCUGUGGAACUUCAAGAAUUAACCAACAUACUAAAUCUCUAUACCUAAGGAAAAGAAAAUAAAUAGUAUUACCUAGUUAUUACUUUUGGUUGGGGCGACCUCGGAGUAAAACAAAACCUCCGAAAAGAGUAUAUUCUCAUACUUAGAAUUACACCUCAAAGUGCUUUAAAGCAAAACGAUCCAAUAUAUUUGAUCAACGAACAGAGCUACCCCAGGGAUAACAGCGCAAUCCCCUCUCAGAGCCCUUAUUGACGAUGGGGGUUUACGACCUCGAUGUUGGAUCAGGACAUCCUAAUGGUGCAGCCGCUAU
rnacentral:rRNA from 1 species